CUCUCCAUCUCUCAGUGUUCUGCAAAAGCUGCACCAAGCUAUCUUGAGUUUGGAGGCCAGAUUUCUCGCUUUUCAGAUGAAGGCAUUUGAACACGAUAAAGAGAUCCUUGUCAUCCUGAAGGAACUACGUAGGCAACAUAGCGAGAAACGCUUAGCACUGGAACUUCCUGAGGGGUGCCCGGAGCUUCCAGCUUCAAGUUUUGACCAGCUGGAGCUGAACAGUUUCCUUGCAGAACGUGAGAACAUGUCGAAGACGGUACAGUUCUUUGGUGUCAGAGGGGGCUCUGAUGCAAAGGAUGUCAUCCAUCAAAUCCUCCGAUGCCUACUCAAGGACAGCCUCGCGAUAGGAUGCAGUUGGAACGGAUCGAGGGGAGAGAAGCAUGCCUUCUCCAAGCUAGAGAACGUCAGGAACCUUA